AAUCUGGGUAAGUGAACCCAUUUUGUUUGUGUGCCCUCUUUACUGAGUAGAGCCACAAUAGCAAAAACCUCAGGGCACUGAUGUCUCAGUGUAACCACCCAUCUGGGGAAGACAGACCUUGACCUCAACUUGAGAGUACUUGAAAGAGUGACCAUAACACCACAGGAAAGGGCAGAUAUUAACAGGUUCUCUCAUCACUGGAACUCCGGGUGUUGUACAGGACUUGUUCAUUCAGUCUGUGAGAGUGUUGCUGGAUGAUCCAAACAUGCUUUUAUACCUACUAAAUCGAGAUUGGG